UACGUAGGGUGCAAGCGUUAAUCGGAAUUACUGGGCGUAAAGCGUGCGCAGGCGGUUUUGUAAGUCUGAUGUGAAAUCCCCGGGCUCGACCUGGGAAUUGCAUUGGAGACUGCAAGGCUAGAAUCUGGCAGAGGGGGGUAGAAUUCCACGUGUAGCAGUGAAAUGCGUAGAGAUGUGGAGGAACACCGAUGGCGAAGGCAGCCCCCUGGGUCAAGAUUGACGCUCAUGCACGAAAGCGUGGGUAGCAAACAGG
rnacentral:rRNA from 1 species